GCAACUGCAAUUGCCUGACAGUAUUGGUUUGGUGCUAUCUUUUGUAAAAUAUUAGCUUUCCUAAUAUGUCAAACAGUAGUUAAACGAUUGCGCCAAGAUGGUGUGGGCCGAGUUGGUCAGUGGGCCGAGUUGACCAGCUUCCAUAUUUUUAUACUUGUCUCAUAAGGCCAAAAAAAAAAUAUGUGGGUUUCCGGUUUCUUCUUAUAGAAACUUAGGUAGGGUAGGUCGGUUUUAACUUCUUUUUUUUUAAACUUUUUUUUAUUUUUCCGAAUAAGCGGACGCCAUUUUGUUUAGUCAGUGCUUCCACAUCCAAAGAUAAAUUUCCCUAAUAUUGCCUCAAAUUUCAAUUUUUCACAAACUUUUUCCUCUAAGUGGAAACACUUACAAGCAUGAUCCAAUAAAAAAGUUUAGGGUCGGGAUUUCAACGUCCAAAAGCUAGGUAGGGUCGGGAAACCGGAAACCCACAUUUUUUUUUUGGCCUAACUUGAAAAUUUCACAGUUUAAUUCGCCACAGAUAACCAUAUUUAAAUUGUAUUAUCAAAAAUAACUAAAGCUAGCGAAAUUCUGCUAACGUAAGCAACAAUUCAUCGAAUUAAAAUAAGUUAUUUCUCUUAAAUACCUGCAGUAUAUUUGAAAGCGUCUCUUUAUCAGAACAACUCAAAUCUGCCGCCAUCUUGAAUCUAUCCCAGUGUG